rnacentral:misc_RNA from 1 species
AAGUCGUAACAAGGUUUCCGUAGGUGAACCUGCGGAAGGAUCAUUAACGAGUUAGGGUCUUCUAGGCCCGACCUCCCAACCCUUUGUUUACUGAACCAUUGUUGCUUCGGUGGGUCCGUCUCACGACCGCCGGGGGGACCGCCGCGAGGCACCUCCCCUGGCCCGCACCCGCCGAUAGCCCAACUCUUAAACCCUUUAUGAAUCGUGUCUUCUGUCUAAAUCAUGAUUAAACAAAUCAAAACAAAACUUUCAACAACGGAUCUCUUGGUUCUG